ACGUGCUGAAGCACGUGCUAUUGUGUGGCCACUGCGUGCUUUGCGUAUGAGUAUCGCAAAUAAGUGAGUGAUCCUUUCAGUAAUAUAUAAGAUAAGUGAAACUAACACUAAGGUGCACAUAUGUGAAUAAGUAUGGGCCAAAAUCGAAGAACCAUAUACCUACAAACAUUUUAUUGAAAAAGCUGAAAACAUUUUUCCAUCAUUAAAGAAUACAGAGUUUAUCUUUACGGAUGAAAAUGAUGCUAAACUUCAACCAGACAUUUUAUCAGAAUUUGUUAGAAUAAAUCCACGAGGCGUUAU